rnacentral:rRNA from 1 species
UACGUAGGGUGCAAGCGUUUGUCCGGAAUUAUUGGGCGUAAAGAGCUCGUAGGCGGUUUGUUGCGUCGGCUGUGAAAUCCCGAGGCUCAACCUCGGGUCUGCAGUCGAUACGAGCAAACUAGAGUGUUGCAGGGGGAGACUGGAAUUCCUGGUGUAGCGGUGAAAUGCGCAGAUAUCAGGAGGAACACCGGUGGCGAAGGCGGGGUCUCUGGGGCAACAACUGACGUGAGGAAGCGAAAAGCGUGGG